rnacentral:rRNA from 1 species
AACGUAGGUGGCGAGCGUUAUCCGGAAUUACUGGGCGUAAAGCGUGCGCAGGCGGUCUUUUAAGUCAGAUGUGAAAUCCCCGGGCUUAACCUGGGAACUGCGUUUGAAACUGGAAGGCUUGAGUGUGGCAGAGGGGGGUGGAAUUCCACGUGUAGCAGUGAAAUGCGUAGAGAUGUGGAGGAACACCGAUGGCGAAGGCAGCCACCUGGGCUAACACUGACGCUCAUGCACGAAAGCGUGGGGAGCAAACAGG